rnacentral:rRNA from 1 species
UCAUACAARCAAGARRUGUCAGGGCUGUCGCUGACCCCCUGGGGUCGUGCACGCUCUGGGCAUCCUCACACAAUCCACUUCACCUUUGUGCAUCAUCGCGUGGGGUUCCCCCCUUUUAUUCCAAAAGGGGCCCGCGUUUUUCACACAGACGCCGCAGUUAUAGAACGUUUUUGUUUUGCAGUCACAUGCAACCAAAUAUAUAACUUUCAACAACGGAUCUCUUGGCUCUCGCAUCGAUGAAGAACGCAGCGAAAUGCGAUACGUAAUGUGAAUUGCAGAAUUCAGUGAAUCAUCGAAUCUUUGAACGCAUCUUGCGCCCCUUGGCAUUCCGAGGGGCACACCCGUUUGAGUGUCAUGAAACUCUCAACCCUUCUUCCCUUUCUUGUUGAACCGGGAGGAUGGCUUGGAAUUUGGAGGCUUCUGCCGGUUUUCAUCGGCUCCUCUUAAAGGAAUUAGUAGGGUCUCGUUUGCUGAUCCUUGACGUGAUAACGUUUGACGUCAUUUUGAGAGGCAGAGACUUUGCUUCCAAUGGUCUCAUCAAGGGACACCAGUGAGAUCAAAGAUCCCACUAAACCCCAUUGACCUCAAAUCGGGUGAGACUACCCGCUGAACUUAAGCAUAUCAAUAAGCGGAGGA